rnacentral:rRNA from 1 species
GGAACACGUUGAGAAAUCUGCCUUCAACACUGGGAUAACUCCGGGAAACCGGGGCUAAUACCGGAUAUGAAAUCUGCGGGCAUCCGCGGAUUUGGAAAGUUUUUCGGUUGAAGAUGAUCUCGCGGCCUAUCAGCUUGUUGGUGAGGUAAUGGCUCACCAAGGCGACGACGGGUAGCCGGCCUGAGAGGGCGACCGGCCACACUGGGACUGAGACACGGCCCAGACUCCUACGGGAGGCAGCAGUGGGGAAUAUUGGGCAAUGGAGGAAACUCUGACCCAGCGACGCCGCNUGCGGGAUGAAGGCCUUCGGGUUGUAAACCGCUUUCAGCAGGGAAGAAGCGAAAGUGACGGUACCUGCAGAAGAAGCACCGGCUAACUAUGUGCCAGCAGCCGCGGUAAUACAUAGGGUGCAAGCGUUGUCCGGAAUUAUUGGGCGUAAAGAGCUCGUAGGUGGUUCGUCACGUCGGAUGUGAAACUCUGGGGCUUAACCCCAGGACCUGCAUUCGAUACUGGCGAGCUUGAGUAUGGUAGGGGAGUCUGGAAUUCCUGGUGUAGCGGUGGAAUGCGCAUAUAUC